rnacentral:lncRNA from 1 species
GAGAGACGACUGGCUUUAACAGACAAAUGCAGCGCAGAGUCAGCUCAGCACAGACUGCAGGGUAAAAGAGCUUCUGAGAGCCCGCAGAGCUGUUGUGUAAGACUGGAUGGAUGACAGAAUGUGAAAGAGCGGGAGAGAAGGAGAG